rnacentral:rRNA from 1 species
CCUACGGGUGGCUGCAGUGGGGAAUAUUGGACAAUGGGGGGAACCCUGAUCCAGCCAUGCCGCGUGUGUGAAGAAGGCCCUCGGGUUGUAAAGCACUUUCAGUGAGGAAGAACGCCUGGUGGUUAAUACCCAUCAGGAAAGACAUCACUCACAGAAGAAGCACCGGCUAACUCCGUGCCAGCAGCCGCGGUAAUACGGAGGGUGCGAGCGUUAAUCGGAAUUACUGGGCGUAAAGCGCGCGUAGGUGGCUUGAUAAGCCGGUUGUGAAAGCCCCGGGCUCAACCUGGGAACGGCAUCCGGAACUGUCGAGCUAGAGUGCAGGAGAGGAAGGUAGAAUUCCCGGUGUAGCGGUGAAAUGCGUAGAGAUCGGGAGGAAUACCAGUGGCGAAGGCGGCCUUCUGGACUGACACUGACACUGAGGUGCGAAAGCGUGGGUAGCAAACAGGAUUAGAUACCCGAGUAGUC